rnacentral:rRNA from 1 species
UACAGAGGUCUCAAGCGUUGUUCGGAUUCAUUGGGCGUAAAGGGUGUGUAGGUGGCGCCGUAAGUCGGGUGUGAAAUCUCGGGGCUUAACUCCGAAACUGCAUUCGAUACUGCGGUGCUCGAGGACUGGAGAGGAGACUGGAAUUCAUGGUGUAGCAGUGAAAUGCGUAGAGAUCAUGAGGAAGACCAGUGGCGAAGGCGGGUCUCUGGACAGUUCCUGACACUGAGACACGAAGGCCAGGGGAGCAAACAGG